GCCGAUUUAGCUCAGUCGGUAGAGCAACUGAUUUGUAAUCAGUAGGUCGGGGGUCCGAGUCCCUCAAUCGGCGCCA
rnacentral:tRNA from 1 species